GACGAACGCUGGCGGUGUGCUUAACACAUGCAAGUCGAACGGCAAGGCCCUGCUUUUGUGGUGUUCUCGAGUGGCGAACGGGUGAGUAACACGUGAGUAACCUGCUCUUGAUUUUGGUAUAACUUCAGGAAACUGGGGCUACUACCGUAUAGGAUCUCCUGCUGCAUGGUGGGGGUUGGAUAGUCUCGGCGGUUGGGGAUGGACUCGCGGCUUAUCGGUUUGUUGGUGGGGUAGUGGCUUACCAAGGCUUUGACGGGUAGCCGGCAUGGGAGGGUGACCGGGGACAAUGGGACUAAGAGAGGGAGCAGACUGGUACGGGAGGCAACGGGGGGGAAUAUGGCACAGUGAGAGGGAGCCUGAGGAAGAAACGCCGCGUGCGGGAUGACGGCCUUCGGGUAGUGAACAGCAGUAGCCUGUGACGAAGCGGGAGUGACGGUAAUGAGUAAAGAAGCACCGGCUAACUACGUG
rnacentral:rRNA from 1 species